rnacentral:lncRNA from 1 species
GAUUAAAUGUAUAUAGACGGUUGCGUGAACUAUUCGUUGCUUUUGUGGUUUCAAGUAGCUUAUAUCCUGUAAGGAGGGGAUUUUUUCCUGUAAUUUAAAAUAAUCUUCAUUUCGUAUUGCCAUUCAUAAAAAUCUUGAUUUUACUUUAAUUUUAGAAUCGGUUUUACCAUGGUUCGUACAGUAUAAAAACGCACAGUUCGCUCGAAAUUUUACCAGACAUAUGUAUGCCUUUGGAUAAGUUUUAAAACUUAAUACAAAAAUACAGAAAGCGGAAAAUGCGGCUCAACGUGGUAUACUGUACUUUGUGGAUGUGUUUGCUACUGCCAUUGAGCAAAUCCGGCAAAGUGUGCUUGGACUGGACCAAACGUUGUUAUUCCGAUCUCAGAGCAUGCCACGGAAUCAUUUCCGGGUUAAAUUUAUAUAAAAUGCAAAGUUGUUCGUAUCAGUGUUGGAAUAUGGGAUAUUUACAUGGGAAUUGUAUGGAAAUAAAUGAACCAAAAACAUUUAACUGCAAAACAGUAUCUAAGCAUGCAUGGAUAUGUAUGUGCGAUCACAGUCGCCCUGGAUGGAAACAUAGACACUGCCGAUAGCAAACGCACCACGUAAUGAAACGGAUGAUUGAUCCUGCAGAGAUGCUCUUACAACGGGGAGUUAACUUUGGGACGUGAAAUUUAAACUGUUUGAAAACAUAAAGAGAAAAUACAAACUGAACAACAAUUCUGAGGGAAAAACAAAGAGAUGGAGCGAUUGAUAGCCCAUAUCCCUUGGCAUAUAAACCUCUUUUAAUGUAGAUUUGCAGGUCACAUUAUCCACAGCGAUACAUAUGAACAGUAUUUCACAGUGAUUUAAUAGAUUGAACACGAGUGGUUACAAGCCGAACGGAUUCGUAAAAAUUAAAUAGAUCUACGCUUAUUUUCUUAUUAACAUCUUCCUUACUGCCAAUUAAAUCGUCAGAUUUAGUUUUAUUAACUUAUUUAUAUUUCAUUCAUUCGUUCGUUCGUUUAUUUAUUUAUUUAUUUAUUCAUUCAUUCAUUCAUUCAUUCAUUCAUUCAUUUAUUUAUUUAUUUAUUUAUUUAUUUAUUUAUUUAUUUAUUUAUUCAUUUAUUUAUUCAUUUGUUUGUUUAUUUAUUUAUUUCUUUAAUUAUUUAUUUUUUUUUUCAUUCGUGUAUAUAUCGGGCUGGACCACUAACAUGUGCUGUUACCCAUAAAUUGUACUUCUGUAUUACAUAUAAUUGUGUGCUUUUUAUUGUUUUUAUAAUAAAAUAUGGUUCUGACUAUUGGUCUCUUGAAUUUAUUUGCAUACCAAUUAGCAAGUACAAUUAAUGUUAACUCAUAAAAUGUUUUUUCGAAUAAAACUGAUCUUUAUCCAAAUUGAA